UACAGAGGUGGCAAGCGUUGUUCGGAAUUACUGGGCGUAAAGGGCGCGUAGGCGGUUCGAUAAGUCCUGUGUGAAAUCCCUCGGCUCAACUGAGGAACUGCACGGGAGACUGUCGGGCUUGAGUUCGGGAGAGGGAAGCGGAAUUCCGGGUGUAGCGGUGAAAUGCGUAGAUAUCCGGAGGAACACCGGUGGCGAAGGCGGCUUCCUGGACCGACACUGACGCUGAGGCGCGAAAGCGUGGGGAGCGAACAGG
rnacentral:rRNA from 1 species